rnacentral:snoRNA from 17 species
UCCCAAUGAAGAAACAUUUCACACGUCUUACUUCCUGUCCGAGUCCCAGAGCCCGUAAAGUUGAACCCACUGAGGCUGGCUGGGGGAGAAGAGGAGAACUUGUUCCAGAAAGAACUGUCUGAGGGAU